rnacentral:lncRNA from 1 species
CACCUACUUCAAAGACCGAGCUUGCUACCCGGCGAGAUGCAACUUUGGAGGCGAUGCCACAAUAACCAAAACAAACCCUUGUAAGUCGGAUCAAUCAUUAAAUACAUCAUGGAAUUUUUUUUUAUCUAUUUGAUUUGCUGACUAAGAUAAACUUAUUUUUACCUUUUGCAGCUCACGGGUCGUGCACUUUCAAGUAAAGAUGAGACUAUGCGAUCAAUCGUUAGACUAAUAACUAAAACUCGCAUGGAGAAUACCAUGUUUUUCCAAUAAUCAUAAUCUUGCAUCAAGAAUGUCUUGUCUUCAUUAAUAAUAAAAAGUGACACUGUUAUGCUCUAUUUUGUCUUCUUUUUUAUAUCUCAAUUUUUAGCAUUGGUGUGGAAGCUGAAACAAAUGACUGUUUUUCAACUCUAUUUCAAAACAGUACAUAUCCUACUUAACGAGAUAUCUAACUCAUUAACUUUGAGCCUAAAUGAUCCAUCUAGAAUUCUUGAGUUAAGGUAGCUUAUAGUCAAAUCCUAACAUAAAAGCAUAUAAACAUUAUAUAUAUAUAUAUAUGCUAUUUUAAGAGAAUUAAACUUAAUUAAAAGAGAGGAUUGAAAUCUCUAUCAUGAUCACAUGGGUGAAAACAAAUGUAAACUCUAUAAUUUAGUAAGAAUGGAGAGGUUACACCAUGAUAAAAAUCACUAACAAGGAGGAGGUUAUGAGAAUAAUAAAUCACUAGUAAAUUAGAUAGUUUACAUACAAUAAAAGUAUAAGAAUGUAACCUUAAAAAUUGAGUCUUGUAACUCUCAUNNNNNNNNNNNNNNNNNNNNAUGACCCUAUAAAUAGCAAAGUUUUGUCAUGGUAAAGUAUCAAUAAAAAGAAAGAAAAGUGUAGAUAUUUUUUUAUAAGAAAUAAAAAUUUCAGUUUGCCUCUUGCUUCAUCAGUCAACUCAUCUUUAAUUCUCUCUCUAUCUCAUCUUUACAUUUCCCCAUCAUGCAUGUACUUCGUAUUAUUCUAAUAUAAUUCUAAUAUAAUAUUCAAAUCCAUCCAUCAAUAUCAUCACAUAACCUUGUAAGUAUAUUUCUAAUAUACUUGAGUUUCUUAGUAUAUCAAAUAUUAGGUUCAUUCAAUCCGGUUUGAUGAAACUAUUGACAUACCAGGCUCAAAAUAUUAAGAUUUAAUUAAUAAUAAUAUAUUUGUCAUAUUUGCAUAAUCUAGUUCUUCCAAUAUAAAGGCUAAACCAAGAGUAUUGAAUUUACAAUGACUAAUUUUCAAAUCUAAAAAGAGAUUAGAUCUAUCUGUCACACAUAAUCAUAUAUGAUUUCUUUAAAAGAAUGAGGGCAUGGGAAAUGAAUCAAGUACAUCUUUAACAUAACUAAUCAACCUUCGUAUCAACCACACUAAUUGAGAUUUAUUUUCUAUAUUCUAAUCUUGAUUAUAUGCCACAUAGAUAAAAAGGAAAGUGGGAAAAAUAAUUAGAAUAACUCAAAUAUAAAAAGCUUCAUUAAAGAAAUUUAUUAUUGCUCUCCUCUCAAUUUGCUUGUUACACUAUAAAGGGAGACCACAACCCUUUACUCGUGACACUUGAACUUAUUAGGACUCAUCACAAUCUUCUCUAGAUUAUAUAAUCGAGAUUAAUAAAAAAAAAUUCUUCUAUAUCUAAUUAUAACUCCUUUCAAAAUAAAAAAAUUCUUCAGGGUUGAUCUGCUCUUUAAAGUCGACGCAAUUCAUGAGGUCGUGGCAUAGUCUCGAUGAAAUCUAUAGUAUUUGGAUUUAUAUCUCCUCCGAGCAACCACCUUGGUGGUUGAGGUUCCCACAAUAUUUCUUUCUACUUGAUUUGGAGUAAUACCUCUGUCCAUGACAUAUUUAGGAGAGGGGGGGAGGAGGGGAGGGACAAGUUUGCCCUCAACCAAGAUAUCCCCACUCGAUCGAGUGCUCCCUACCGAGAUGAUCUUGGGAUUGGAGCAAGGGCUUGUUAUUCUUACUUUGUGCAUUUUCAUGGCUCCUCGAGCAUUUUUGAGAUUAUCGUCUCACCCAUAAUAUUUUGAUUCUACGUUGGUGUAUCCUAAGGACAAUAUUCAAUUGAUUCUCUUUGAGGGACCAAAAGAGCCAAGAGGGUCUAGUCUCAUCAUAAAUGAUUGUUUGAGGACCAAAGUAUGAGUAUUAGUAAUCUCUUAGGCCUUAUUUGUGAAUUUGGUAAUGAAUACCACUAGUGGCUUGCCCUUUAUUUGUCGGAUUGUUAUAAGGUAGCCACAUGUCAUGGUGAAGUAUUGCUCAAAAUACUAUAGACAAGUCUAAAUACUAUAGACUUAAGUGCCAUCAACUAAGGAUGAUGUAGCUCAUUGAACACAAUAGUGAGAGUCUAAAUGCAUCAUCUGUUAAGUGUUCGAUAAACUUGAGACUCUUUGGGGCACCGAAUAUUGACUAGCUAAGGCAUCUUGAGGGGCAAUUAUUAAGGGGUUGGAGUUGCUACUAAUUGGGUCAUUUGAGGAAGGAAGGAGAUGACAUACUAUAUCAUCCAAAUCAAUAUUUGAACCUAUUGGGUGAGAUUUAAGAAUACCUUUGUUGGGACCACCAUGUGGGUGGGGGUCCCCACCGGUGGGGAAAAUCUAGGAUCAUUGAAUAACCACUAGUACUACAUCGAAUGUUUGUUAGAGCCCAUGUCUUAUUGGAUAUCCAAUAAGCUAUUGAAUUAUUAGAUCCUAUGGAUGAUAUCAAAUAAGAGCCAAUGAGAGACUAUUAGGUAGAGACCCACUGAUCUAAGAUGUUUGGGUAGUGUGAUGGAGAUCCAAAACCCAAUAAGGUAGGAUCUAUUAGGGUUAAGUUAAUAUAUGACAUUUAUAAAUAAGAGAGAACUAAAGGGCUAUAGGCUAGAUCCCUUUUUGGUUGUUAUCUCUUAUUCUCUUCUCCCCCUCUCCUCCUCAACCUACAGCCACUAUUUGGGGUGUGUGGACAACAAGAAGGGCUGCCCUUUCUUGAUUGCAUUGUGCAUGCAGCGAGGAAGAUUGUGUAGCGAUUUGAGAAGCAUCUUCAUAGCCCUUGUCAUAUGGAUCACCACUAGAGAGGAAGAUACUUGACCUCCUUUAUCCUCUCCCAUAGAUCUACACGAAUUCAAAUAUAUACAAUAUCCUUAGGUAGCACAAUCCUUUUAUACACGUAGUUUCUUGGUUUCGUGGGUUUUUUACAUACCAAUCUUUGCACGAUGAUAAGAGACUAAUUUUUCUAUAAAAAUCUAAAAUUUUAUUUUUUGUUCUUUCACUGCGCAUUGAUGUUGCCCCUAAUUUUCCAAUAGUUAAUUGCAUGAAAAAUAAUAAAUCUACUAUUGGAGGAAAUUUGAAUUAAACCUUAGAUUUUUACCAUUUUUAUGCUAGUAGCAAUGCAACUUUACAUUGUUAAUUUUGGAAUUUGUAUGCUAGUAUAUGUGGCUCUUUAGUUGGGAUUUCAAUUGUAUUUGUCAUCCGGAUGAGAAAUUAGGUGAAAAGUUAUUUCAGUAUUUUUAAUUAGUUAAUAAUUUUUAUGACUUCAUAUAUUUUGGCUUGUCUCUUAGAUUUACGCUUCUCGGGAUCUUGUUUUACAUGAGCGAAUAACAAAUUUGGAUCUUUAAAGUUUCUGGACAACUUGAUAGGGAUUCAAUUUAUUAUUAUUAUUAUUAUUAUUAUUAUUAUUAUUAUUAUUAUUAUUAUUAUUAUUAUUGUCAAGCAUUUGUUUAGAAUCACUUUUGAUUAUUCUUCUCCUCUCAUUUUAAUGGUCAUUUUCUUCAUUUUGAGGUUUUUUGGUUGAAGUAUAGAGAAACAAAAUAAUUAAUUGUGAGGGCUCUUAAGGACCCUGCUCAACCUUAAUCUGAUUGAUAAUUGAUAUUCUAUAUUAACCUCCUUGAGUCAUAACCCUUCCCAAAUAGUCAAAAGAAAAAAUUGAUAAUUUAGAAAAUAGAAUUAAAGAGACUUUAAGGAAAAUAGAGUAUAUUGAGAAUAAAGAAAAUUCUAACAUUUUCUAUGAUGAGGAUUGAUUUAACUUUCAUAUCUUAAAUAAUAAUAUUAUCACCCUUAAUAGACAAAAGUAUAUGAAAUGGUGGAUCAAGGCAAAACGUCAAUGUCUUGGGGAAGAAGAUAAAAAUACCAAAUAUUUUCGAAGAGUUGUGAACCUUAGGCAGCGGAAUACUAUUAAAAAUAUUUACUCUUAUAGCAACACCAUUGUCUUUGAUGAUGAUCUAAUUCACAAAGUUUACUAAUCGGUAUUGUACCUUAUGGAAUAAUGAUUUUUCUAACCAAGAUCAAAAUUAGCUUUACCAUAUACUUACAAAAGAUCAUGAUGUUUGACUAUAGAUUUCUUCAAUCAUGAAAUCCUGUUUGGUAUCACGUCCGUGGGUAAAGGAAAAAGCUAUAUUUUUUUUUCUUUACUAUACUUACAAAAGAUUAUUAGGUUUGACUAUAAAUUUCUUCGAUCAUGAAAUCCUCUGUAUGUGGGCAAAGGAAAAAGCCCUAGAUAUAUUGAGUAUACUAUAGAAUUUUAUAAUCAUUAUUGGAAGACUAUUAAAAACCAAUUAUGGGAGCCUUUCAUGAUUUCUAUCAGAAUUUUAGACUUCUUGAGGGUUGGGAAAAUGCUUAUCUUGUCUUUUAUCUAUAACAUUUCCAAUCCUAAGAAAAAUACUAAUUUCAAGCCAAUUACCCUAUAAAAUGUAAUUUACAAAAUAUUCUCUAAUGCCUUAUCACUUCAUAUUAAUCCUUUCUUACACAAAAUAAUUUCUCUAUCUCAAUUAAGAUUGACAUCGAGAAAGCACGUGAUCAAAUCUAAACUCUUAUAUCUCAAACAAAAUCAUGAAGAGGAUUACUAGAGCUUGUACAGAAAUUUUUUUAGGACAACACUAAUUUCAAACAUGGUACUAAUCUCAUUAGUUGGAAUAUUAUAAAAGACAAGACUAAUGAUGGCUUAGAUAUAAAACAUAUCCAAGAUGUUAAAAAGUCAACUAUGGCUAAACAAUAGUGACUCCUUCGGGAUUAAGAUCCAUGUUACUAAGUAUGGAAAAGUAAAUCUUUGAAAUAUUAAAAUAACUAAUUCCACUACAUAGUUUUAAAAAGACAUUCUACUAAAUAAACUGAUAGGCACAUGGAGGAAGGUCAAUGUUCAGGAGAAACAUUAGAUUUUCAAUUAUCCCAUCAACAAAUAGUUUACUUUUUGCAAUGAGAUUAAUUUCUACUGUUGUUGAUUUUACUAAAAAUGGCCAAUGGGAUAAGGAUUUGGUAUUGAAAGUGUUUCACAUAGAUAUUAUGAAUAGAAUAUUAGAUAUUCAUGUUCUCUUAAUUUAUACGAGGAUAUAUAGUGUUGGGUCUCUGGUGGGUAUUUUGAUAGCUAAAAAUGCUUAUAAAUUCCUUGUGAAUGUGGGGAAUAGUACUAAUGAUUGUUGGGAGGGUGAUAUAAUAAUUAGAAGUCAUUCUAAAGAUGAAAGUUUUCUUCUCAAAACCUCUACGAUAAAGGUUACCAACAACGGAUUGGUUCUCGAGAUUUUCUGACAUUUGAUUAAUCUCUUAUCAUUUGCAUAGAUGAACUUGAAUUUAUAAGUCACUUUUUUUCUCUUGUUUCAUUACUUUAAACGGUUAGCAAAUGAUCCAACUCAAACUAAGUUUAUUCUUUCAACACUUUGAAGAAUUGCUGAAUAAGAAUGGGUUAAUUUGAAUAAGAAAACUUAAAACAACUACUAGCUCUAAUUACUAAUUUGCUAUGGAUCCUUUGGAACAAUCGUAGUAAUUGUUAUUUUCGUAACCAUGAUUUUAGCAUUAUUUCAUUGUGGUGUAAAAGUAUAUUCUUUUACUUCCAAUGAUACGGAGGGUUAGAAUAACUCUAAAGGACAUGAGAGAAAUAUAGAACUAUGUAUAUCUAAUCAAACUUAUAUAUAUAUAUAUAAUUUUAUUUUAAAAUAUGAUGCUUCAUUCAAAAGUCCUGUGGAGUUUGCCGGAGCAGGUUACAUUAUCAAGGAUAUUCAUGGCAAGAUAAUUGCUUCUAGAUGUGGAGUUAAGACAUUUUCAUACAAUUUUGCAAGCAGAAAUUUGAGUUAUCCUUUAAGGGUUAAAGCUAGCUCACACCAAUGGCAUAAAAAUUCUUUAGAUCCGGAUCGAUUCACAAUAUACUUUUAAUAUUUUGACUAGAAAUGUACAGGCACCUUGACAUAUAAAUAAUAUUGUAAAUAAUUGUUGGAAUAUGGCUUAAAGUAUAUCUACUAUUAAAUGAGAAUACAUGAGAUGUGAAUGUAACAUGAAAACCCAUACUCUUAUUUCUUAUGUGACACAAUAAAGUGUUUCAUGGAAUGAUGACCCUCCUAAUUAUAGCUCUUUACAAAGCAUUUUACACCGUAAUAUAUGAAAUAAAUAAAUAUUAUAUAUAUAUAUAUAUAUAUAUAUAUAUAUAUAUAUAUAUAUAUAUAUAUAUAUAUAUAUAUAUAUAUAUAUACUAAUUUGAUAUGCCCAUACUCUAAUUAUUAACUAACUUGAAAGUCCAGACUUUUAUUUCUUAUGUAACACAAUAAAUUGUUUCAUAAAAUGAUGACCCUCCUAAUUAUAGCUUUUAAAAAAAUAUUAUUUAUAUAUAUAUAUAUAUAUAUAUAUAUAUACACACACACACAAAUGCACACGUAGCCGACAGCCACUAUACUAAUUUGAUAUGCUCGAUUAGAGCAACGAAUCAUAAAGAUAAGCAAAUCAAAAGAAAAAAAGAAAAAAAUCUGACCCAUAAUAACUUUACUAUUAUAAUUUCAUCUAUAAAAGCUUACAUGGGAGAUGGAUAAAUUUCAUAGCAUACGAAAAAAAUAGAGAUGCCAAUUUCCAAAGGGUGCUUUCUUUUCGUGCUCCUCGCUCUUUCCAUUGCUCUCACAGGUACCAAUACCAUCCUGCAUCAACCCAUUAUCAUAAUCUUAUGAGAACAUUCGUUAACUUCUUCUCUUACUUUCUUUGCAGUGCCGAAUGUUGCUGCAGACGAUUGUGUAAGUUCCUCACUUUCUUCACCCCGAAAUACUUUACAUCCACUAACAAUUUUCUUCAACAGAUUUUCCUAAGAUUGUCGAUUCCAAGAAUACUAGUUAUUUAUCGUAUUAAAAUCCCAUUUGUAAUCUUUGAUGAAAAUGAUCAUUAUUCAAAAAUGAAAUACUACUAGUAUUUCUUUAGUGUAGAUCAUGGUCUCAAUCAUUUUUCACUGAGCAUUCAUUAUAUAUUAUAUGCACUUAAUCAUUGUCUAAAUCAAUGUACAACAACUAUUACUAUAUAGUAGAAUAAUUUUGUAUCAAAUACAGGCAAAUGUAUGGUGUGUAGCAAAUCCUAAGGCGAACCGUGACGCACAGCAGAAAGACAUUGAUGUGCUAUGUAAUACGAUGGACUGUAGCCCAAUCAAAUCCGGUGGGGCUUGCUUCGAACCGAACACCGUAUUGGAUCAUGCUUCCUUCGUCUUUAACACCUACUUCAAAGAUCGAGCUUGCAACCCGUCAACAUGCAACUUUGGAGGCGAUGCCACGAUAACCAAAACAAACCCUUGUAAGUCGGAUCAAUCAUUAAAUACAUCGUGGACUUCCUUUUUAUCUAUUUGAUUUGCUGAUUAAGAUAAACUUCUUUUUGCCUUUUGCAGCGCACGGCUCGUGUAGCUUUAAGUAGAGAUGAGACUGCGAUCGAUCGCUAGAGUAAUAACUACAACUCGCAUGGAGAACACCAUGUUUUUUCGAUAAUCAUAAUCUCGCAUCAAGAAUGUCUUGGCUUCAUUGAUAAUAAAAAUGACACUGUUAUGCUCU